rnacentral:rRNA from 1 species
AGAGUUUGAUCCUGGCUCAGAACGAACGUUCGCGGCGCGCUUAACACAUGCAAGUCGCACGAGAAAGGGCUUCGGCCCCGGUACAGUGGCGCACGGGUGAGUAACACGUAGGUAAUCUGCCUCCGAGUGGUGGAUAACCUCCCGAAAGGGGGGCUAAUACAGCAUGAGACCACGGNUUUCGAAAGAAGCAGAGGUCAAAGCGGGCCACUUCAUGAAAGCUCGCGCUCGGAGAGAAGCCUGCGGCCCAUCAGCUAGUUGGUAGGGUAAUGGCCUACCAAGGCAAAGACGGGUAGCUGGUCUGAGAGGAUGAUCAGCCACACUGGAACUGAGACACGGUCCAGACUCCUACGGGAGGCAGCAGUGGGGAAUCUUGCGCAAUGGGCGAAAGCCUGACGCAGCGACGCCGCGUGGACGAUGAAGGCCUUCGGGUUGUAAAGUCCUUUUGCAAGGGAAGAAUUUCAUGACGGUACCUUGCGAAUAAGAGGUUGCUAACUCUGUGCCAGCAGCAGCGGUAAUACAGAGACCUCAAGCGUUAUCCGGAAUCAUUGGGCGUAAAGCGUACCGAUAGGUGGUUAUACAAGUCAGAAGUGAAAUCUCCGAGCUCAACUCGGAAUCUGUCUUUUGAAACUGUAUGACUAGAGGGGCAAAGAGGAAGCUGGAACGAACGGUGUANUANUGAAAUGCGUUGAUAUCGUUCGGGAACACCGAUNGCGAAGGCAGGC